rnacentral:sRNA from 1 species
GAUCUCUAAGCUGACUUGCUUUUAUUUAAACGCUUUAAUUUUAUUUCAACUUGUUUAAAUCCCCAGUAACGUUGAUGAAACUGUCAUCGCUGGUAACCGAAAAAAGCUGCAUUAGGACGGCGAAAAAGGAAAUAGAGAACAGGAUGAAAGAACGUCAUAAAGCACUUGAAUGUGAUGGCGCGGCAGACUGUGUUAGGUGCUAUAAGAAGAAGAUGACGCCAUAUCUAACCAUGGAAAGAUUCGGGCAAGGAAAUAGCCGUUGGAAAAUGGAAUGUGAAGAAGGCAGACCUGUUGGAUGUCUUUCGUUUGGCCCCAACUAUCCAGAGCAUUUCUACUCGCGAUUCUUAGACGAUGACCACUGUCAUCGUAAUUGGUAACAGGGCGCGACCAUGUGCAGAUCCUGUGUCAAUAAAGAGGAAGCUUAGAUUGCUGAAGGGACAGAUUCGGCCAAGGAUACGGAUUUCCAUUCUGCUGCAUCGCCUACAAGAAAGAGUGCCGGGAGCAGCACAGUAAGGGCGGGAUGCUGCACGCCGAAAAUCGAUCGAAGGAGGAGGAGCUGAAGCCGCUAAGCCUUCCCCUUGAAUAAGGGACCAGACCGCAAACAUGCUAAGCAAGCAACACCGGAAGGAGCUCAAAAGGCUAAAGGCCGAGCAGUGGCAGGAGUUCCUGAUCAAGGGCAGCGAAGAUGACUGGUCGAAAGCGUUGCAAUAGAACGGAACUGGCGGUAGUAGCGGGCUGCUUUCCAUACAAAUUUAAUGGCGUGAAGCGACUGGACGGGCCGUCGGAGCAGACUAAGGAUCGUCACAUGGCCGCUCCACUUUCAAAAAUGAGAAGGCAUUCGAAGCACAGUCGCGGCCAGCAGAAGGCACUGAUUUAACAUGGACUUCAUUGGGGCGGGUAUCAUUUAAGUAGAAAUGCAAAGGCUUAACUUCAAAAAGAAAUUAUUUUGUGGGCUUAUCUUAAUAAAAACUUGUAUCUAAAA